GACGGAGGGUGCAAGCGUUGUUCGGAAUUACUGGGCGUAAAGCGUACGUAGGCGGCGGAUUAAGUCGAAUGUUAAAGCCUGGGGCUCAACCCCCAGAGAUGCACUCGAUACUGGUCUGCUAGAGGGUGAUAGAGGAAAGUGGAAUUCCGAGUGUAGCGGUGAAAUGCGUAGAUAUUCGGAGGAACAUCAGUAGCGAAGGCGACUUUCUGGGUCACACCUGACGCUGAGGUACGAAAGCGUGGGGAGCAAACAGG
rnacentral:rRNA from 1 species